rnacentral:rRNA from 1 species
GACGGAGGAGGCUAGCGUUGUUCGGAAUUACUGGGCGUAAAGCGCGCGCAGGCGGUCUUGCAAGUCAGGGGUGAAAGCCCGGGGCUCAACCUCGGAACUGCCUUUGAGACUGUGAGACUCGAGACCGAGAGAGGAGAGUGGAAUUCCCAGUGUAGAGGUGAAAUUCGUAGAUAUUAGGAAGAACACCGGUGGCGAAGGCGGCCCACUGGCUCGAUACUGACGCUGAGGUGCGAAAGCGUGGGGAGCAAACAGG